ACGCGUGACCUCUAUACGUUUCACGUGUCGUCCCCGUCAAGGGCGUUCGGAUUCACGCGGUGAUCAUGAAUUUUUUGGAAGCACCGGAUUCGAGGACAUUUGGCCCACUUACGAAUUUACGAUUCUUGGAUAAUCAUACAGAAUUCGCAGGUGCCGUGGAUACGUUUGAUUUUAAAUGGGCUGCGAAUACAGCAGACGAGAACGAGAGAGAAGGAGAGCGUGCGCGAGCCUUGGCGAUGAAUCAAGCACGACUCGGCGCGGUGAACGUCCAUAAACCCCUUCGGUUGAAGGCUUCUGGCUUCUCCACACGCUAGUUAGGCAUAAGGAACUCGUCCGUGUUCGUCCCACUUCUUGGUCCAUCCAGACUCGGGGUCAUUAACUUCGGGGCAAAUCUGAAAGACAACAUUAACCAUAAACGAAAUCGGACGGGAAAGAAAUUGCUUCUGAAUAUAAAGCUGUACAAACUAAAUGCACCAAAAAGGUCGGCGUGACUGCAGAUUUUGUUGAAGCUAAUUCUCAAAUGGGUUACAAAGAUGAUGCUGAUGAAAAAUUUUAAUGUGUCGUUGCCUGUAUAUACGAGAAUGAGCUUAAGCUAAAAGAUGAUGGUACACUGGAUAUUGAAGGUACAAGUAUGAUUGUAGGCCGAAGGCUAAAGUAUGCCGAGAGAAAUGACGUAAUCAAAGCAGACCAAGCUUGUUCUAAUAUUAAAGGAGAUAAUGCAUGUGAUACCAUUUUUAAGAUUGUCGGAUGCUCAAUCAAAAACCUUGAGAGAUAUCGUUAAUUUAAUAAUAACACUAUAAUCACUGCUUACAACAAUAGACACAAUAAAUGUAGAAAUUGAACAAUCAAAAGAAGGCUAUAAUUCGUGUCAUUUAUUUGAAACUCAACAAAUUCCUUCCAUAUACUAUCAAAACAAAGGCAAUUUAGUAAUCUUUUUAUGAGCGCAAAAUGAACGUGUUGUUAUAUAGUUAUAUCUUAUGCAACAUUACAAAUAGUUUAUGACAAAAAUAAAAAAAAUUAGCACUAUUGUUCACUAAUUGGGUACAAACCUAGCGUAUGCACAGCUACAGUGAGUAUACAAAAAAAAAAUGCUCCAAAAUCUGACUCAGUAAUGAAAUAUGUAUUUGUACUAAACCACCUACACAGAAAGAGGAAGAAGAAUUUAAAAGCGAAUUGGCUGAAUGCAAGAAUCUAGUUGGAGUCACUGAGGAUUAUGUAAGAGACGUUUUCAAAAGUGGAUUAAAGGGUGCCGAUGAAAAAUUUAAAUGUUUCAUAGCUUGUCUAAUCCAAGAUUCGUACAAGUUUAACGACGGUGGGGUAUUCGAUGCCGAAAGAACCAUUGCAAAUGAUCGCGGUCCAGCUGGACUAUUGCGCGAUUACACAAACAAAGCUUUGAAGGCAUGCUCUAAUAUAAAAGGAUAUAGCGAGUGUGAUGCUAUUUUUAAAGUUUACAAGUGCAUGGUGGAAAACGUGGAAAAACUUUUCAAUGCACGCAAUGAUCGACCCAGUGGGUGAAGAAAUCGAUGAAAGAAAUAAAUUAUAGCUCUAUGUAAGAAUGCAAUAAUGAAAUGUGUAUAGAUUAAAGGUUGUUCUUCAAAUUACCCUCUUAUAAAAAUAAACUAAAAGAUAACAAAUUGUAAUGGGACAAGU